GUUGUGGCUCAGUGGUAGAGCACUUGCCUAGCAUGUGUAGGCCCCUGGGUUUGAUCCUCAGCACCACA
rnacentral:tRNA from 1 species